GAUGAACGCUAGCGACAGGCCUAACACAUGCAAGUCGAGGGGCAGCGAGGAUGUAGCAAUACAUUUGUCGGCGACCGGCGCACGGGUGAGUAACGCGUAUGCAACCUACCCGACACAGGGGGAUAACCCGGAGAAAUUCGGACUAAUACCGCAUAAAACAGGGGUCCCGCAUGGGAAUAUUUGUUAAAGAGUAAUCGGUGUCGGAUGGGCAUGCGUUCCAUUAGAUAGUUGGUGAGGUUAACGGCCACCAUGCCCACGAUGUCUAGGGGUUCUGAGAGGAAGGUCCCCCACACUGGAACUGAGACACGGUCCAGACUCCUACGGGAGGCAGCAGUGAGGAAUAUUGGUCAAUGGUCGGAAGACUGAACCAGCCAUGCCGCGUGAAGGUGACGGCCCUAUGGGUCUUAAACUUCUUUUGUAAGGGAGCAAUAAGGUGUACGUGUACAUCGAUGAGAGUACCUUACGAAUAAGCAUCGGCUAACUCCGUG
rnacentral:rRNA from 1 species